rnacentral:rRNA from 1 species
UACGUAGGGUGCAAGCGUUGUCCGGAAUUAUUGGGCGUAAAGAGCUCGUAGGCGGUUUGUUGCGUCGGCUGUGAAAUCCCGAGGCUCAACCUCGGGUCUGCAGUCGAUACGAGCAAACUAGAGUGUUGCAGGGGAGACUGGAAUUCCUGGUGUAGCGGUGAAAUGCGCAGAUAUCAGGGGGAACACCGGUGGCGAAGGCGGGUCUCUGGGCCGAUACUGACGCUGAGGAGCGAAAGCGUGGGGAGCGAACAGG